ensembl:lncRNA
GGGGUUAGUGAGUCCUGAGUGAUUCGCUUAUGCUAUGAUUCAGCACAGCAAGGGAGGGGGUAAAAUGAGUGUCCUUACCUGUGGUAGAGAGUGCCCAGAGGAGAAACAGAGAAAACAGCAGCUUCAUUGUGAUGAACAGAUGAAACACCUGAACCACUGUCUGACAAAUAUUAACUAUAAAAGGAAGCCUUUGGCUGCUGAGGAUGAAACUGCAAGGGCAAACAACCUGAACUGUUAUUAUGUCCAAUUGGAAAUAGACACUUUCAAGGAAUACCUUGAUAUCUCGGACAAUGUAAAGUACAAUAAAAAUAACACGACAAAUUUAUGCACUGUUAUAUUUUUUUCUUUAAC